AUGGCGUGGACUCUUACGGAUGAAGCCUCUUGGAACAAAUUCUCAGAAAAACUAGAAUCUUCAAUCCGCCUUGCUCCUCUGGUCAAGGAAGAAACAAGAAGAAAAGCGGCCAGAUAUUCUUCACGGAGAGUUGUCGGGGUUUCCUGCUUCAACAGUGCUAGGAUGGAACCUGGCGCUGGUCCCCCAUCCUGGCCGGCCGCCCAUAGCCAGCCCUCCGUCACGUCUUCACCGCGCCCUCGGACCGCCCAAGGCCCCCGCCGCCGCCGCUCCACGCCGCGCAGCCACCGCCGCCGCCGCCGCCGCCGCCUGUCCUUAGCCUCCGCCAUGAGGACCGCGUCCACCUCGCAGGUGCGCCAGAACUACCACCAGGACUCAGAGGCCGCCAUCAACUGCCAGAUCAACCUGGAGCUCUACGCUUCCUACGUUUACCUGUCCAUAUCUUACUACUUUGACCGCGAUGAUGUGGCUUCGAAGAACUUUGCCAAAUAUUUUCUUCACCAAUCUCAUGAAGGAAGGGAACAUGCCGAGAAACUGAUGAAGCUGCAGAACCAACGAGGUGGCCGAAUCUUCCUUCAGGAUAUCAAGAAACCAGACUAUGACGACUGGAAGAGCGGGCUGAAUGCGAUGGAGUGUGCAUUACAUUUGGAAAAAAUUGUGAAUCGGUCACUACUGGAGCUGCACAAACUGGCCACUGACAAAAAUGACCCCCAUUUGUGUGACUUCAUUGAGACACAUUACCUGAAUGAGCAGGUGAAAGCCAUCAAAGAAUUGGGUGACCACGUGACCAACUUGCGCAAGAUGGGAGCACCCGGAUCUGGCUUGGCAGAGUAUCUCUUUGACAAGCACACCCUGGAAGACAGUGAUAAUGAAAGCUAAGCCUCAGACUAAUUUCCCCAUAGCCAUGGGGUAACUUCCCUGGUCACCAAGGCAGUGCAUGCAUGUUGGGGUUUCCUUUACCUUUUCUAUAAGUUGCACCAAAACAUCCACUUAGGUUCUUU